GUCUUCAGAUAAAGGAGAAAGGAAAGUUUCUUGAUUCUUCGAUUUCAAUGGCUAUGGAAACCCACUUGGAUUAAUGAAGCUCUUGAUUCCUUUCUUCUUCGUGCUUUGUCAAACCCACCAUUCCAAGAGUGUAGUUUCUGGUUCCUGGGUAUCAAAACUCAAGAAUCAAUUCAGUACUGCUGAUUCCUACUUCUUCUGAAUUCUGCUGCAAGAUUCAUUGCCUGGGUCAGAAUUUUCCCAUGGUUUUUUCUGCUUCCUUUGAAAACUAAGGAGUUCCUAUCCAGCCAAAUACCCCAAAGAAGGUAAGCUAUUCCAGUCAUGUUGAAUCUGGCCUCACUUCCAUUUCUCACUGUUGCGACAACAUCAAUCCACCAUUGCCAUGGUUGAAGAAGAUUGUUCCUGGGAAUUGCACUUACCAUUGGAGAGUUGUUCCAUAUUUCUGCAAUUUGUGGGCAAAAAACCAGCGAAUGCAGGGCUGAUUCUGGAGCGACAGAGCAACGAGGACAACGUGGAUCUGCUUGAGUAUCGCUGAAGUUGGAUGGAAAAAGAGAUAUGCGAUGUUGUAGCCAGAUUUCGCAGAGUACUCACCGGAACUGGUCCCAUUUUCCCAAGGCAUCCAUCAGUUGUUUAACCCAAAGUAAUUGUUGGUUGCCCGACUCAUUUGGUGGAAUUCGAAAGGGGGGUUCAUCUCCAAACCAAGGAUCUUCCCAUAUCUUUACCAUCCCUUAUUGAGAGACUGCCCAUUUCACACCCUUUUCGAGGAUAUUUCUUCCUUCCAAGAGACUCUGCCAUGCCCAAGAUGGUCUACUCCCUUUUUUUGCUUCAAGGAAGGAGGUUAGUCUGUAGUAUUUAUUUUUAAAGAUUUUGUAGAAUAGAGAAUGAGGCUUGGUUAAUAAUCUCCACCCCUGUUUUGCCAACAUUGCUAGAUUGAAAGCUUUUAGGUCUUGGAAUCCCAAACCACCUUCCUGUUUAUCUCUGCUUACCGUAUCCCAGCUAAUCCAAUGCAUCUUCCUUUCAUUAUGUUUCUGUCCCCACCAAAAGUUCAUCAUCAUCCUAUGUAGGUCAUCAAUUAAUGUCUCAGGCAGCU